GAUCAUGGCUCAGGAUUAACGCUGGCGGCACACAUAAGACAUUCAAGUCGAACGGACUUAAUCGAUUCUUUUAGAUUCGAAGCGGUUAGUGGCGGACUGGUGAGUAACACGUAAGGAACCUGCCUAUUAGAGGGGAAUAACAACGAGAAAUCGUUGCUAAUACCGCAUAAGCUAGUAGUACCGCAUGGUACAGCUAGAAAAGGAGAAAUCCACUAAUAGAUGGCCUUGCGUCCGAUUAGCUAGUUGGUGGGG
rnacentral:rRNA from 1 species